AGGCAUUGGAGCAGGGCAUUUUGAUAGUGGCUGGAGGGCAGGCAGCUCAACCUCUAAACCCCCCUGGUCUGGGCACCAAGUCCUGUCCUGGGCACGGGACACAGUCCUCCAGCGAGACCAAACCCAGCUUCUCUACAGCACCAGGAAGAAGGCAAGCUGGGCCACCAGGGCGCGGCCCCAGGAAGGAAAAUCCUCCAUGGUCCUGUUGACAGAUGUGGUAUCAAAUGAAUUGUUCUCUGCUUAGACACGACUUUGAUAUUUAUUGGUUCAAAUUGCUCGGCUGACUCAGUCUUGCAUUCCAUUUUUCUGGACAUCCCAUCUGAAUGGAGUGGUUGGUCUCUUAUGUCUGGCCUCUUUCACUGAAGAGUCUUGUUUCUGAGGUUCAUCCAUGUGGUUGCUUGUAUCUGUGAUUCAUUCAUUUUUAUUCCUGUAUAGUAUUCUGUUGUAUGGAUAUACCACAUUUUGUCUUUCCAUUAUAUGUGAAUUAAUUUUAUCUACACCCAGAAGUAGUGAAAAUUCGAAGGACCUUUAUUAGGAAUCCAUGUCCACAGGGUCUUCAAAUAUCCAGUUGCUUAUCUAGAAUAAAGAAUGUUGGAGAUCAUUUUUCUUUGGUGAAAUGAGUGUUGCCCAAGAACUGAAGGGGGGCAGAUAGACUGUACAGACACUGAGGUCCUCUCUGUCUGGUGCAUUUCCAGCCACCUGGUUGUACUAUGAGGUCAGUUAAAUUUGCCAUGAGAAUAUGCUGCAUACACUGUGGAGUGAAUCUUUCCAGAAAAAUACUUCUCAUGACAGACAGCUAGGACUUCACUUAUUUUAUAGGCACUCAUAACUGUUUGUGUCUGUUUGUUAUUAAGUGAAAUCCUCCCCCCACCCAUUUGCUAACAUAUGUCGUACAUGUAGCAAAAU
rnacentral:lncRNA from 1 species